rnacentral:rRNA from 1 species
UACGUAGGGGGCUAGCGUUGUCCGGAUUUACUGGGCGUAAAGGGUGAGUAGGCGGUAAUGUGUGUCAGAUGUUUAAUCUAUGGGCUCAACCCAUAUCAGCAUUUGAAACUACAUAACUUGAGUGCAGGAGAGGUAAGUGGAAUUCCUAGUGUAGCGGUGGAAUGCGUAGAUAUUAGGAGGAACACCGGUGGCGAAGGCGACUUACUGGACUGUAACUGACGCUGAGACACGAAAGCGUGGGGAGCGAACAGGAUUAGAUACCCUGGUAGUCCACGCCGUAAACGAUGAGUGCUAGGUGUUGGCUGAGAAGUCAGUGCCGAAGUAAACGCAAUAAGCACUCCGCCUGGGGAGUACGGUCGCAAGACUGAA